CUCAAAGAUUCUCACAUCUCAAUCAAUAAAUGUAUUUUCUGUUUAAAAUGUGAAAAAUUCAUGGUAAAUGUAUACGAAUGGGGCUGUGCCACUUUGUGUGGUACACUUUGUUUACGAAUCAUUGACUGGUCACUGCUGGAGAAUCAGAUUCUUACCAUAUUUUGGUGAUUUUGAUUCACAAAAAGGUAUUACGAGCUGCCAUGUCUUUUGUAUAAAUUAUUACAAGGGCCACACCUGGAUUUUUCUCAAUUCCUAUGGUGUAUCGCACUCACUUAUCCAAGCACUUGUUUUCCAGUUAUGUAAUUCCAAUGAGCAAUUCUUUAAAAUUACGAGUAUUGUGAAUUGUUUAAUUGACUACCUGUUUUUUAGCGUGAGUCAUCGUCACCGAAAUGAAUACAAACAUUAGUAUAUUGAUACAUCUACAGCACUAAGAAGGAUUUUUUGCAAAUGUUGGCGUUUUAGUUUUUUUAUUUAUUUCUAAGGCUAGUGAGUCUCUAGGGGACAGUCAUUUUAUCCAGAUUCGUGUCCAAUUAAAUUGUUUUAGACGACGUAGUUUGUAAAAUUUCUAUAAAUUGCAUAAAUUACACGUGAGUCAUUAUUUUCAAGGUUGUAUCGUAUUGGUGGUCUGUGCAAUAAAAUCUUUUUUCUCU